rnacentral:rRNA from 1 species
CGGGGUGCACCAGGCGCGAAAACUUUGCAUUGCGGGAUACCGUGACAAGGGAACUAUGAGUGCCCGUUAAAUCGGGCCGUCCAUCGGUUUAAAUAACCGGCGAAGAAAGGGCCGGGCAAGACCGGUGCCGGCCGCCGCGGUAAAACUGUCGGCUUGAGUGGUGGCCACUAUUAUCUGGGCUUAAAGCGUUGGUAGCUGGCAUGCUACGUUUCCCGGGAAAUGUUCCGGCUUAACCGGAGGGUGUCUCCCGGAUACCGGCAGAAUAGUGACCCUGAGUGGUCAGAGGUACUCCCGGGGUAGGAGUCAAAUCCAGUAAUCCAUGGGGGACCACCAGAGGGGAAGGGAUCUCACCAGAACGGAUCCGACAGUGACGGAUGAAAUCCGGGGCAGCAAACCAGAUGAGAUACCCGGGUAGUCCCACACCUAGAACGACCCUCUCUAGGUUUAUCGGGACCUAUGAGUCACGGAAAAGCCGAAGUGAAAUGUUGACACUUGCCGCCUGGGAAGUACGGUCGCAAGGCUGAAACUUAAAGGAAUCGGCGGG